AUUGAACGCUGGCGGCAGGCCUAACACAUGCAAGUCGAACGGUAACAGGAAGCAGCUUGCUGCUUCGCUGACGAGUGGCGGACGGGUGAGUAAUGUCUGGGAAACUGCCUGAUGGAGGGGGAUAACUACUGGAAACGGUAGCUAAUACCGCAUAACGUCGCAAGACCAAAGAGGGGGACCUUAGGGCCUCUUGCCAUCAGAUGUGCCCAGAUGGGAUUAGCUAGUAGGUGGGGUAACGGCUCACCUAGGCGACGAUCCCCAGCUGGUCUGAGAGGAUGACCAGCCACACUGGAACUGAGACACGGUCCAGACUCCUACGGGAGGCAGCAGUGGGGAAUAUUGCACAAUGGGCGCAAGCCUGAUGCAGCCAUGCCGCGUGUAUGAAGAAGGCCUUCGGGUUGUAAAGUACUUUCAGCGGGGAGGAAGGGAGUAAAGUUAAUACCUUUGCUCAUUGACGUUACCCGCAGAAGAAGCACCGGCUAACUCCGUG
rnacentral:rRNA from 1 species